GACGAACGCUGGCGGCGUGCUUAACACAUGCAAGUCGAGCGGUAAGGCCCUUUCGGGGGUACACGGAGCGGCGAACGGGUGAGUAACACGUGGGUGACCUGCCCUCAGCUCUGGGAUAAGCCUGGGAAACUGGGUCUAAUACUGGAUAUGACUCCACGGUGCAUGUCGUGGGGUGGAAAGCCUUGUGCGGCUGAGGAUGGGCCCGCGGCCUAUCAGCUUGUUGGUGGGGUGAGGCCUACCAAGGCGACGACGGGUAGCCGGCCUGAGAGGGCGACCGGCCACACUGGGACUGAGACACGGCCCAGACUCCUACGGGAGGCAGCAGUGGGGAAUCUUGCGCAAUGGGCGAAAGCCUGACGCAGCGACGCCGCGUGAGGGAUGACGGCC
rnacentral:rRNA from 1 species